rnacentral:lncRNA from 1 species
CAAUACCUCCACCUCGGGAACUUGAAGAUCAAGAGAAGACACCACCCCAGGAGAAAUAACCAGAUAGAUCCAGGAUGUCUCUGCAACUGUUGAGCUGGAAUAUUAAUGGUUGCAAUAUCCCGGAGAAAAGGAAGAAAAUUUUUCAUAUAUUAAAAAAAGAACAAUUGGACAUUAUUUGCUUACAAGAAACACAUGUGACGAGGCUCCACAGAAAAGUGUUAACAAAUAAAAGAUUGGGCCAGGAAUUUAUUUCGUCGGAUAAAGUGAAGAAGAGAGGAGUGGUGAUAUAUGCCAAAGAGAGCCUGUCACCUAAAUUUCUAUUUAAAGAUGAACAUGGAAGGAUUUUGGCUAUUGAGAUACAAUAUCAAGGAGAGAAAUUGCUGAUAUUAGGAAUCUAUGCGCCUAAUGAAGGGAAAUCGGAAUUUUACAAGAAGUUGCAGGGGACAAUGCUGGAUCAUCUGGAUUACAACAACAUCAUAAUGAUGGGAGACAUGAACGGGGUCGUGUCAACUAACAUGGACAAGUCGCAAAGUCAAAACAUCACAAAAGAUGGCAGACUACCUAAAACCUUUUUGAAAUGACUGACAAUAUGGACUUGAUCGACAUUUGGAGAACAAAAACCCACUAGGUAGAGAAGGAACAUUCUUUUCUGAAGCCCAACUGACCUGGACAAGAAUCGACCAAAUAUGGAUCUCUAGAGGCCUGGCACCUAGGGUUAGAAAAGUGGAAAUCUGCCCAAAGACCUGUUCUGACCACAACGCAGUAAAGAUGGACAUGACACUACUACCAACUGGAUCCUUUAGAUGGAAGAUGAAUGACAAUUUGUUUAGAGAUCAGGAAAUUACCAAGAAGGCCCAAAAAGUUUUGAAAGAUUAUUUUGAGAUAAAUAUGAACAAUUCGGUGGAAAAAAGAAUCGUCUGGGACGCAAGCAAAGCUGUCAUGAGGGGUUUUCUGAUACAACAGAAUGUAGUAAAGAAAAAAACACAAAAUGAGAAAAAAGACAAGAUUUUGGAUAAAAUAAAAGACUUGGAGAAGAAAUUAAGAGUGAAUCCAAAGUCACAGCCAACUCUGAGAGAAAUUAAACUUUAUCAAACACAGUAUUCUAAAUUGAUAAAUCAGGAAAUUGAAUGGAAGAUCAAAUUAAUGAAACAAAAACGUUUGAGUCGGCGAAUAAAUGUGGAAAACUGCUAUCUUGGCAGUUGAAGAGAAGACAAAGAUUAAACACGGUUACAAAUUUAGAGGUUGAUGGAAGAAACAUUCAGAAUCCAGUGGACAUUAGAAAGUGUUUCCAGAGAUAUUUUAAAAAGUUAUAUACCCAAGGGCCGCAAGACGAAGUUGAGAUUAAACAAUUUUUGGCAAAAAAUGGAUUAUCUAAACUGUCACAAGAAAAUAGGACAAUCCUGAACUCUAAAAUAACACGACAGGAGAUUGAACAAGCUAUUCAGAACAUGCAACUUGGCAAAUCUCCAGGGCCAGACGGGCUGACCUCCAAGUAUUACAAGACACUAAAAGACUAUUUGAUACAACCUUUGAUGGAGGUUAGCAAUGAAAUUAUGGAGGGGAAGAGGGCACCGGAUUCGUGGAAGGAAGCGUUUAUCACAUUGAUACCAAAGUUAGAAACUGAAAAGACACAACUGAAGAACUACCGUCCCAUCUCCCUUUUAAAUGUGGAUUACAAAAUAUUUGCAGAUAUUUUGGCAAGUAGAUUUAAAAAAAGUUUUAAAUGAAGUAAUUCAUAAGGACCAGGCCGGUUUUCUCCCAGGUAGACAUUUGUUUGCUAACACAAGGAACAUUAUUGAUAUUUUGGAACUUCUCCAAACUGACAUAAAUACAAAAGCUGUUUUAAUUUUUAUAGAUGCGGAGAAGGCCUUUGAUAACAUUUCUUGGAAAUUUAUGAUGGGAAACUUAAAAGAGAUGGGAGUGGGACGGGGUUUUGAGAAUGGGAUUGAGGCGAUAUAUUCAGAACAGAAAGCAAAACUGAUAGUUAAUAAUGUGGUUACAGAAGAGUUCAAAAUUGAAAAAGGGACACGACAAGGUUGCCCUAUUUCCCCUUUGUUAUUUAUCUCGGUCCUGGAGGUGCUAUUGAACAUGAUCAGAGGGGACCAGCUGGUGGAAGGAAUUCAGGUUGGUCAGAAACAAUAUAAAUUAAAAGCUUUUGCAGAUGACCUGGUUUUGACCUUGCAGAAGCCAGAGCCUAGUACGAAAAGAGUAUUACAAUUGAUUAAUGACUUUGGUCGGGUGGCGGGAUUUAAAUUAAACAAACAGAAAACUAAGGUUUUGGGGAAAAAUCUGACUGAGACAGAGUCAGAACGGUUUCAGAAUGAGACGGAACUUAAUGUGGUUAAAAAGUAAAAUACCUAGGGGUAAACAUAACAGCAAAAAUCUAAGUCUAUUUAAGGAUAAUUAUGAAAAAUGUUGGACAGAAAUUAAGAGAGACUUAGACAGUUGGUCAAAAUUGAAACUUUCUUUGUUAGGCCGAAUUGCUGCGAUUAAGAUGAAUGUAUUGCCAAGAAUGUUGUUUUUAUUUCAAACACUGCAGGUAUUGGACAAAAUGGGGUGCUUUCAGAAGUGGCAGAGAGAUAUUUCGAAGUUUGUCUGGCAGGGCAAAAAGCCCAGAAUUAAGUUUAAGAUACUAACCGAUGCAAAACAAAGAGGGGCUUUGCCCUGCCGGACUUAAAGUUGUACUAUGAAGCCGCAGCGUUCUGCUGGCUAAAAGACUGGCUACUUCUUGAAGACACUGAUGUGUUAGAUUUGGAGGGGUUUAACAAUGUUUUUGGAUGGCAUGCAUAUUUAUGGUAUGACAAAGUUAAAGCAAAUAAGGCCUUUAAGAACCAUAUUGUUAGAAAAUCACUGUUUAAUGUCUGGACAAAAUAUAAAGACUUGCUGGAAAAUAAAACACCAAGGUGGCUUUCACCUUUGGAAGCUAAGGCCCGAAAAAGACCCAAUAUGGAGGCCAAAUGGCCAAAAUAUUGGGAAAUACUAGAAAAGAUGGAGACAAUUGGAAAUUGCAGAGCUUGGAGAAAAUGAAAGACAAAGUGCGAGAUUGGUUACACUAUGCUCAGAUUAAAGAAGUUUUUAAAAGUGAUAAGAAACUAGGGUUCCAGGUGGAGAAAUCGAAAUUAGAAACAGAAUUGUUAGAACCAAAGACUAAGAUACUUUCAAGGAUGUAUAACUUGCUGUUGGAAUGGAAUACACAAGAUGAAAUGGUUAAAUCGGCUAUGAUAAGGUGGGCACAGGACAUUGGGUACAAUAUUAUGUUUGAGGACUGGGAAAGGCUGUGGAGUAAUGGAUUGAAAUUUACUGCAUGUAAUGCUUUGAAAGAAAAUGUAAUGAAAAUGAUUUAUAGAUGGUAUAUGACCCCAGUCAAACUCGCAAAAAUUUACCACCUGUCUGAUAACAAGUGCUGGAAAUGCAAAGAGUGUGAAGGAACGUUCUUUCACCUCUGGUGGACAUGCCCUAAAGUGAAGGCGUUCUGGGAAAUGAUUUACAAUGAAUUGAAAAAGGUAUUUAAAUAUACUUUCACUAAGAAACCAGAGGCUUUCCUUUUGGGUAUUGUCAGCCAAGGGGUGGCAAAGAAGGACCAGACAUUUUUUAUGUACGCAACAACAGCAGCAAGGAUACUACUUGCAAAACAUUGGAAAACCCAAGAUCUACCCACACUGGAAGAAUGGCAGAUGCAACUGAUAGACUAUAUGCAACUGGCUGAAAUGACUGGCAGAAUCCGUGACCUGGGAGAAGAGAGAAUCGAGGAGGAUUGGAAGAAAUUUAAGAACUACCUACAAAAACAUUGUGAUUUGAUUGAAUGCUGAAUAAGAUGCUGGACUAAAUAACUGAGCACCACUUAACUUAGAAAUUUUUAAGGAAACAAGAAAAAUUGUGAAAGUUUAACUCUUUAUGAGAACUUUAAGAUUAUGAAAUAUCGAAGAGAUAUAAGAAUUUAAAUAAGAUGAUAAAUUGCUGACAAAAUGUUAUAAUGAUGAAGGUGGGAGCGGGAGAUGUGAGGAAGUCCUAAGAAAAUGUGAAAAUAUGUUAAGACGAAUGCUAUAUUGUUUAUUACAUUUAUUCCUAUUGUAAAACCUAAUAAAUUGCUUUAAAAAAAAAAAAAGA